ensembl:lncRNA
CCAUUGACAUUCAUCAACAUUUAAUGAACAUGAUGGAGACCGAACAGUGGCUGUGAGCGCAGUGAGGCAGUGGGUGGUGCGUUUCAGCAGUGACAGUGGGGCACUUCUGAUGGUGCAGAUUUUUUGCAAGUGAGGAGUCAUGCAGGCACUUGUUCAUCGCUGGCAAAAAUGCACAUCUAAUGGUGAUGACUAUGUUGAAGAAUAGUGUUUUGCUCUACCAAACAGUGUCAUUGUGCUGUAAACGUGGAGCAUUUUAGGAACUUCAUGCCUAAAGCCAUCUGUACAGAACUGUAACACCUGACCAGAGAGUUGAUCUGACCAUCUUAAACUCUUGUUCAGAUCAUUGCUAAAGUGAAGAGACAAGAAACCCACUAGCAGUUGGUUAGGGUCAUGUUUUUUUGUCACUUGGUGCUGUCAGCAGGGUUUAGGUUUUUCUUGUUCUCCAUACAAAGACAUUUCUUUACUUGUCUUUUUAUUAAAUCCUUCAUUUUGAUGCAUCGGUUAAUACUGUAAAUUAAUAAUGCACCACUCAGGAUGUGCUGCUUUUCUCUCCCAUUUAAAAUUGUCUUGUUUUGGCAUUAUGCAGAGGAACAAAUAGGAGACCUUGUUUUUCUAUGACAUUCACUAUUUUGUGCCUCCUCCGCUCCACAUAAACUCUAUUCACACAUUUACCUUUUCAUCUGCUUUCUGUAUCAAGCAGCUGUGUUCCCUCCAUCUCUACAUAGAAGUAUUUCCAGGCUUUCAGCUGAUGUAUGUUUGUGUGGCAGGGCACUGCUUUGUCCAGCUGCUCAGUGACAGAAAGGAACCCGAUGACAAUACAACCAAAGUUCUGUUAAGUAGAACAAUCAACUAUCUCGUUGUACAUUCUUGGGCCUUAGUGACUUUCAAUCAGGGAGACAAAUUUAGACCAGAAUCUUGUGUGGUGCCAUACUUCCUACCACCCCAUAGUCUGUGCUGUGCUGGAGUAUGGACCUAGGGCAGCUGGUAGUUGUCAGCUCCUGGGACUUUUGUCAUCCAUUGGCUUAAGGAUACUGUGUAGAGAGAGUGAGAUGAAGGCAUGGUCAGACGAAGUGAACUGAGCUAAGCUACAUAACAGGGGAGCGCUGGAAUAACUCUUCAUUGGUCUGUCUCACAGCUACACUUCAUGCCCUGGACCUGCAAGACCUUCUUUAGGAUAGAUGUUUUCAAGUUGGCAGUGCCUGUAAUUGCUUUUUGUCUUAGAGAUACACAGUGCAGUACAGUGAUUUGUAUUCAGAAGACACCUGCAGAGUCAACAUUAAUAAAGAACUAACCAUCAAAAGGCAAAACAGAUGGCUAGUGAUACGUGUGCUAGUGCUGAGCUCAAAGAGGUUCCCACAAUCCUGAAUUCCUUCAUUAAGAACCAAGCCAAAAAGCUGAGAGUGCCCCAGUUUCAUGGAGCAGGACCGUAGUUUAGGAGCUGUUGUGGACAGCCUGCUCUCCAGUCACAGGCCUCUGCACCUUUACCUGCACCACCUGUACUGGAGUACCCUCAUCUUCCUCACCUCAGAGCUGGGCUGGGCUCACAGUUACUGGUCUGAGUGCUGCCCUCCUUCUCCACCAUUGUAGAGUGCAGAGGGCUGUGCAGUCACGGCUGUCUCCCACCUGGACUGUGCUGAUAUGUGCACCACAGAUCUCUGCACCACAGAUCUCUGCAAGAUUUGCUGUCACGUCCAGCAAAAGAGAUAUUCAUGAAUUCUCACUUUAAAUCCUGUUCCAUUUCAAAAUGCUGUUCCCUUGAGGGCUUUUUUUUUUUCAGUACCUGCAAGCCUGCUAGGUUUUUUUAACAUACAGAUAGGAGCAUUUAGUGGAAAAAAAAAAAUAGGGACAUUUCCUAUUUUUGAAAUACAUCUAAUAGAAAUACAUCUCUCUAUCAAAAUACGUCUAAUAGAAAGAGCUUUUAGAAGAAAAAGAACUGAAAAGAUUCACUGCUUUUAAGGAACAGUUGAAACCUAUCUUUCAUUACAGCAAGACUUAGGGGUGGCUUUGAUCUCUCAAUAUUAUCAGACCAAAGCCAGUUAAUACCUAGAGUAGCAGCAUUAGCUUUUGUACAGAAUUCUUUAAAUGACUUCUAGGGCCAUUAGAGUCAAUUGUAAAACACCACUGCGUUUACCUAACCAGAAUUUCCCCAGCAGAUCAGUCCAUAAAAAGCUUUAGAUGUUGCAAUAGCGAAUGUUGCAGUUUUGAACUUUUAGCACUUUUAUCCAGCUUCAUCCCACUGACUUUGGGAACCUUAGCCAGGAGCAUAACCUUGCUAUGCUCCUCUGAAGUCAUUGGAAGUCUCUGGAGAACGAGUCAGGCUGACUGUCACAUGGGAUGAAGCCACGAUCUUGGCAGUUGCUGAAAUGCCCAGCCCUGGGUUGUGUACCUGGGCUUUCUGUUGAACAAAUGAACCCACAUGCCUCUGGAUGGGAUCUAGGAAAGUCACCAGAGGAGCCCUCUUACCUCACAGACACGAAAGGGCUGGGGAUGAAAGUCCCUUCCCAGCCCCAAGAGGCUGCAGAUGCCUUCAUGCUUUCCUUCCUUUCUAGGAGCAGCAAGGACACAUCUUUUGCUGUGGUAGCCUUGCUUCCACCCUCUUCUCCAGCCAAGGUAGUUUUAACCUAGAUCUUCAUGUGGCCAACUGCCUGUAACUGGGUGGUGCUCUUGGUUUCUCCAGAUAAAUUGUUAGUACUGCUUCCAGCUCUCUCUACAGCAUGAAUCUUGCAGUAAAGUCCAGUGGCUGCAAAUAGAGGACACCCUGGGCUCCUUUAGUCUUGAUCUCUCCUAUGCACAUAAAUGGAAGCAUGCAUGAAGUCCAUUUUCAUGAAUAGUUGAAAAAAUAGGUGAAUAACUUUGUCAUGUUUGAAUUGCUCAGGAAGCAAGUUGAUCUGCUGUCUACACAAUACUCACCAUGAAAUAUUGGCAUCAUGUGUUUGCCAAAAUAAAUAAAUAAGUAGGUUUUUACCUGACAGUCUGAGAAAUAAAGCUCACAAUGAGAAGAUCAGUUUUAAAAACAUAAGCACUUUGUUAAGAGACAAUAGUGUACCAUUCGUGAGUCUACUAAGGUUUUGUGAAAAACUGGGUAGACAAAAUGAGAAUCACCACCAAAAGGAAUGGAACGUCAUGUACUUUAAGCAAGGAAUCAGUUCAAGGAAAAUGAAAUAUCUUCAUAAAAUAUUGAAUUAUUAAAUGGACAGGAUACUAAAUUAAAAAAAAAAGAAAGAAAGAAAAUAGGAAGCCAACACAAGAACACAGAAAACAGAAAAACUGUAGAAAAGAAGAGCUAUCAAGGUCACCAGCUAACAAAAUAAACUUCUGAGAGUUGUUCUUGUGCAUUUAUGCACUGGAAACGAGCAGUAUUCUGUUCCUAUAUAUGUAGUGUGUUUUUCUGUUCUCAAGGCAAUAUAAAAUGUUUCUGCACAAUAUAUUAUUUAUUUUAUAAAGCUCUCAUAGAAGCUACAAACGCACACAUUAAAUAUAUAUAUGAACGUAUGUUAUAAUAAGGUAACUCAUUACUUACCUGCAUAGUGAAAAUGAUCUAGUUUUCAGUAAUGAAGAGGAGAAUCAGAUUCAGGUUAAUGAGAACAUUUCUCUGAUUAACCUUCUCUGUAGCCAAUGACUUGUAUUGGUCCAUCAGCCAUCCAUGCCUAAGUAGUGUUGCCAAAUGAAUUACAUCCAUACUAAAAAAAAUACAGAAAAAAAAAUCAUGAUCCACUAAAUAAAAUCUGGAAUAGUGUAAAUGAACACCAGAAAAACCUCAGUAAGAGCACUCAAACACCUCAAGAUAUGCUACUCAUGACCAAAUUAAUAGAGUUUACAGUCUUACCAGUAUUAAAUACCCAAGUGAAAAUUGAAUCAUAGGAGAAAAAAAUUUAUGGGCAAUUAAAAAUCCCAUAAGAUUUUUACUUGUUAAUGAAGACAAUUCUGCAUACUAGUGACUGAAAGAUAAUCGUGCUUAGCAACUGGCAGAUGUCAUUCCUACACAUAAAAUCAGCUGUUAGUCUUAACCCAUUUACUAAAAGUGAGAAUGUAGCUGUAUCAUUAAACCCUGUUGUGCUCUGGGCCCAUUGAAUAAGGACUGGAGUUUGAGAAGCCAAAAUGAGGAGAUGAGAUGGACUUGACUUAAUUCCCUCUGUCAAUACUGUGGUUAAAUUAUCCGUAUAGAACAGUGUGAGGAAAAUCUCUUUUCCUUUCAGGUAAAAUCCCUUUUUCCUCCAGUGUGAGGAAAAUGCCGUUCUAGCAUCUGUUACGGAGAUAAAUACAGGUGUUCUUCUCCUGAAGCAACCAACUAAAUACCUGAAAUGCCACUAACUUUUCUUUAAAAAAUAAAAUCAAAACCAAAACCACAAGAUGUGAGUUCAUCCCAAAGCUGGUCUGCAGGCUGUCAAAUACUCAAAAGUCAUUGUGGGAAGAGAUGUGUGAAGCCAUUUGGGGUUUUCAUUGCCCCCACUGAAGGCAUAAAUCAGGUAUCAGUUGCUGGAAGUUUAGAAGAGCUACUCCUGUGGGUGGGUUACUACAUCAUUUUGUUGAACCUUUCUUUGAAAUGUGGUACUGGCCACUGAGCAAGAAACAGUAAUGGGCCCAUCUGUCUAGUGGUCUGCUAAAAUACGGCAAUUCUUCUGUUCCUGUGGUACUUAAUAGAGCAAAAAUCAAAAAUAAUUCACCAGUAAUUGAUUAGAUAACUGUUGAUUUUAGUAUUUAUGAGCUGUCACACACAGAGCUCCAAACCUUCAAAUAUGGCUAUUAUUCAAAAUUUGUUGUGAUUCCCUCUACAAAACCCUCCCAGAGAUUAGAGGGUUCAUUAAGAUAAAAUAAAUGGAGAGUGUGCACUGAAUUAGUAGGCUUUAUGUUGUUUCAGACUUCAGACAAGCUCAUAGCUGCAAAUAAAUAUCAAAGUACAAAUUGAAAACAUUGAGUGUUACAAAUGAGUAUGUAAUGAAAAACUGAUUUUUGAAAAAAGGAGCAUAAAGUAUGCUACACAGAUGGUGAAGAGUCUUGAGGGCAAGAUGUAUGAGGAGUGGCUGAGGUCCCUUGGUUUGUUCAGGCAAGAGCAGAGGAGGCUGAGGAGAGGCCUCAUGGUGGCUGCAGCUCCUCACAAGUAGAGCAAAGGGGCAGCGCUAAUCUCCUCUCUCUGGGGACAGCAGACCCUGGGCCCAAAGAAUGGCAUGGAGCUGCAUCAGGGAAGAGUCAGGUUAGGAAAAGAUUCUUCACCAGAAGGUGAUGGGCAUGGAACAGGCUGCCCAGGGUAGAGGUCACAGCCCCAAGCUGCCAGAGUUCAAGGAGCCUCUGGACAACACUCUCAGACAUAUGGUCAGUUUUUUGAGUGGUCUUGUGCAGCUGGACUCAGUGACCCUUAUGUGUCCCUUCCAACCUGGGAUAGUCAGUGAUUUUAUGAUUCUGUGCCUUUUAUGCACACUUGUCACGCACAACUGCAAAAGAUCUAAUGCUUAAAACCCAAGUAUAGUACACAUUGAAUUUCAAAUGUCAGAAAUAUAUGGCCUAGAGAUCUUUUCUGGCCAAAUUCUGACUUCUCCACAAGCCAAAUCAAUGGACAAACACUGCCUGUUACCCCCCAGCAUUGUGCUUACUAGAAGCAGGUUUUGGCAUGCAGGAUCAGCGAUGCCCCCAUCUCAACCAUAGCUCCCACCUCUCUAGCAGGGGAAGCAUGUGGCCACUAACUUCAUUUUUCAGCAGCACUUUCUUAAUUAUGUUUUGCUAAUUAUGUUAUUGACCUUCCUCCGAGGAAGUUCCUCUCUUGAGAGAACAGAAUUAACUCAAUUAAUUUAAAAAUGGAAGGUGUUCUUACGUUUUUUUUUUCUUUUCUUUUUAGAGAACAGCCUAAAAAUGGCUUAGAAAGGAAGGAAGGCUGCCUGAACUGCCUAUACUCAACCAUUUCAGACUCAUGGAAAUUACUCUCUAUAUGCUGAACCUAGGCCAUUGGUUCACUCCCUCUAAUCCACUGUGAACAGUAUAUUGUUCUACUUCUAUGACAUAAAAAAAAGAAAAAUAAGUGACUGAUACAAACAACAUACCAAACAAAUCACUGGACAGACAUGUCCAACCUGCAGCAUGCAGCCUGCUGCAGCCCAUGGGCCACAUGCGGCCUGGCACAUCUCGCCAUGUGGCUGCCCUCUGCCCCUCGCCAUCAUGGUGGCAGCUCUGCCCCAUGCACACCCAUCACUUAUCAAUUACCAAACACCAGUGCUUUAUUAACCCCAUCUGGGCUGAAACCGGGUCAUGGAGAGAGCACAGUGCAGUGCCUGCUCAAGUUACGGUAAAUAAGUUUAUGGAUUUUCAUACAUUCGCUAAACACAGUCACAGUGAACAGCAAAAAAUAUGCAGCCUUGCUUUCCAUUUUGAUACGGGAAUUUGAGAACAGGUUUCAAGAUUGCAAAAAAAAUCCCAAUUUUUUUUGGUUUAUUUGUGACUCCUUUUCCAGUUGACAUAAAUACAUGACCUGCAAAUUUUCAAAUGAAAUGCACAGAGUUGCAAUCAGAUAUUCAACUGAAAAACUUGAUCAUGUCUCUCUACUGGACUUUCAUAAGCCCUCUUUUAUCAGAGAGAAAUAUCCUUCACUUCACAGUCACUCCUUAUCCAUGUCAUCACUGUUGGCAGUACGUACAUUUGUGAACAACUGUUUUCAAAGAUGAAUCACAGGAAGAAUAAAAUUUCAUCAAAAAUCUCUGACAAACACCUUGAGAACUCAAUGAGAACGGCAACCACUGCCAUCGAAUCACUGCCAACCUGAUGCAUUAGUUUCACAGAAACAAGAUUCAAUAUCCCUCUAGUUUUAUGGUUUUGUUGCUCUCCUUUUUAUGUUUUAAUAAAAAAUAUUAAAAAAU